ACUACAUCUAGUACUAUUAUGUGUAUGGUACAUAUAAGCAUACAUAUAAAAUAAAAUGUAAUAGAUUUGUUCAGAACUUACUAUGACCAGCUACUUAACUGUGCUGCCAGUUGAUAUUUUGUCUUCUUGUAGACAAAUGUUUGUGGCCUUCAUGUAAAGGAGAGUAAUUGCUUAAAAUGAGCAGGUGAAGUUCUUGUCUUUGAGAUGCUCUGAAGGGUCUAGCAGCAUUUUCUGGGUCUAGUUCUGGAAGCUUUUUGGCCUCAACAAGGAGUGGCCUAGCAUAUAUCCAGCUAACAUUUUUCUUUGAGCUUUGUUGUAUCAAAAGGCCUUUCAGCAAAAAUGAGUAAAAGCAUCCAGUGGGGGCUAGUAUCUUAAAAGGGGAGCCACAUUUUGUCUGUUGGGUUUGGUGGGAUUUUUUUUUCCCUGCAUAAUUCUGGUUUUUCCAUAGGGCUUUUUUUGGUAGACUUGAAACUACCCUGCAAUUGUGUUAUAUCAAACUUCCACUGCCAAAUAAAUACAAAUAGGUAUGCAAAGUCCUUGACCAGUUUGGGGGGAUGUAGCUAUCCACCACUUACUCAAAUACUCAUCUGGCACUAUUUAAGCUUUUUAGGAGGUUGCUUGCAUGGAAGGGUUCUGGGGCAGCAUGAGUGCAAGCAUGGAGUGAGGGGAGAGGAGCCAUGUCCCGCUGGGAGCUGGCACGUGAUGCUCUGACUCCUACCACUGCUGGCAAUGGCAGCAAGCAGCAGAGGGCCUGCGCCUUACCUCCUGCUGCUUCUUAUCUGCCCCUUGCAUGGAGCAGGGCAGCAAGAGCUAUGCUGAGAGAGAACUUGUUAAAGCCUGCCACUUUCAGCCUCUUCUUCUAGGGAACUUAGCUGUGGACACCAGUUAAGCCUGAUAAAAUUACCAAGACCAUCUUUAACUUAAAAAAAAUUUAUUUCACACUUCUAUACAAAUAUCCACAGGCAAUUUCUAAUCAUGGAAUGAUGUAGCAUUCUUAGCUGGUAUAACAAAAGUUUGAGAUAAAAAUAUACCAGUGACACAACUUAUUUUUCAAGGACUUUUAACACUGCUAAGACAUUCAUGUUCUUAGAUGAGGGCCACAAUCUGAUUUUAUACUCAGGGGUAUUUCUCUUAUUUCUCAAGCCUCUUAGCCCCUGAUGAGCCUGGCUUCUGAUGCUGCUGAGCCUUUAAGCAAAUAAGCUAAGAUUCUAAAAUAUUUUAAUACAUAGUUAAUUGUGUAUUAAUAUCUUUAGAUCUAAAGAUAUUAAUGCAUAAUUAUUAUGUAAGCAUUCAUAAAGUCAGGGUCAUAACACACUGAGAUUAUCUAGUUUAAUAGACUCAUCUUAGUUAACACUAAAGGUAACUUUUUAGGUGACCAUGCCUUCCAAGAAGGUACAUUCAAAGUUAGCAGUAAAAAUAAGACAUUUGACAACUGCCCUCCUAGCAGGUUUUUACCCUGUGAGGGAAAAAGUACCAAGAGGUUUUUGCAUAGUUCAUAGUACAAGCAAUUAACAUGCAUACUUUUUGAGCAGAAUUUUGUUCCAAAUGGAAUACACAACUAUGAACUAAAUCUUAAAUAGUACCAAGGCUUUAGAAUAUGGGUAAAAAAGUAAACUCUUUAAAUCAUUUUCUCAGUUAUGUUACAAUAACCAGAUUACUAAUAACACGGUUCUACUUUUAUCAACAUUCAGGUAUUCAAGAUGAUUCAGUAGUCUCAACGUGGAUCAGCUCAGAUCCUGACAGUUCAGCGUGAUAGCGGGGGACACUGUCUUCGUACCUGGAACGCCGGAAGAACCCGCACUGCGCAGAGGAGGAAAACAACAGUUUAGGGGUGAAGUUGUUGCCAAAGUACUACUGUAGUGGCAGGAAAUUCUUCCUUCACACAAAUAGGCAGGCCAAAGAAACAAAAGAAGUCAUCACAAGAACUCAGCUGUUUCUAGAUCUGAGAACUUCUUUGAUCUAUACAAUAACAGAGUAAAAUAACCUGAGUUACUAGCAGAGUAACCUAAGAAUAUUAUAUCAGAGGCAUUUUGAUAAAUUUGUAGAGAAUCUGUUUGGGAUAUUUUUAAGAAAAGCUACAAUAAAUGACGUCCAUAGCAAGUGAACGUAGCUGUGAAGAGCAGAAAGAAGCCCAUACAGAAACCUGUUUGUGGACUAGUGCACGGGACAGACAAAACAACAGGGUGUAGAAGAAAACCAGUUACUCUUUCAGCCCUUUCAAUACAACCUUUUGUCUUAAACCAAUGAUGUAUCUGUCUUUCCAGUACAAUGUUUGUCCUUCAUAGAACAGCACACUCUGUGUCAUCAGAAAGAGCAUUUUUCACUGUGUGCGCAUGUGAAAAAUGUUUGUAUUUCCAGGCACAGUAAAACACUCGUAGUUAGAACCUAACAGCCCACCCAGUAUUCAUUCAUCAGGAGUAUUUACAGGAACAGCUGGGCAUUUCUUAGAAAAUAAGGAAAUCAGAACUAUCCUAUGGGAAGCAACUUGCAGCAAAUAGCUUUUCAAAGCUAACUGCUGCAGUUUCACCGGAAAAAAAAGUGACAGGAUAUUCUUCACCUCCUCUUCCUUAAUAACCUUCUGCUAUCCAGUAACAGCAAGUACUACUAACCUAUAAAAACUAAGAAUGAAAGUAUUGUUCUGUUAUACUUGGGACCACAAAUAACUGGCAUUUUUACAAAGGUCAUUAGAAAAAAGAUACUUGAUUUUUUCUUUUGCAAUAUUUAAACGUUUGUUAUACCUCUUUAUUUCUUUCUUUAAGGUUUCUAAUAUAAAAAAGCAAUAGUAAGAAAUUCACUAGCACACAUGGCUAUGUAUUAAUACUGUGCUUUUCGUUAUUUUCAUAUACUAUCAGUUUAAUGGUAUUUCUGAUGUUAUGAGAACAGCACCCUACUAAAACAUUUCUAAAUAGCUCACAUGAAGUUUUACACCUAACUGCAGAGGCUCCCAAAGGCUUUAUCCAUCUGUAUCAAACUAUGGUUUUGAAGAUUUGUCUCAAGUUUCAUCUGGAGCUCAAAAUACUUCCUUUUGAGGAUGUGAAAACAGAAAAAUUAUGUAACAAGUCUGCCUGUACAACCAUUUUAAUUCCAAGUGUUGCAAAACUGAGAAACUGAUAAUGUAUGAUUUGUGCAGUUUUGCCCUGUUUUGAGUCCCAAAUACUUAAUUAGUUUGCUAUCUUGUCAGUUAUAGACCAGAAAAUAAAAAACAACCAGAUUCAUAAAA